GACAGAGGGUGCAAACGUUGCUCGGAAUUACUGGGCGUAAAGCGCGUGUAGGCGGACUGGUGUGUCGGAUGUGAAAUCCCCAGGCUCAACCUGGGAACUGCAUUCGAAACUGCCAGCCUUGAGUGGUGGAGAGGGAAGUGGAAUUCCUGGUGUAGAGGUGAAAUUCGUAGAUAUCAGGAGGAACACCAGUGGCGAAGGCGGCUUCCUGGACACCAACUGACGCUGAGACGCGAAAAGCGUGGGGAGCAAAAGGG
rnacentral:rRNA from 1 species